GAGAAGAUCGCAGCAGCACCACCGGCUCCUCCGGCAAGUCACCACCUGGUAAAUGGUAAGGGCAAGCCUGCAUUGCGAAAGUCCAUCGAUUCUGUGUUUGAUAUAAACUGUAGUCAUCCAUUGAUUACAUUUUUUCACAAGUCAAGUCCAUCGGUUCCGAGUUUCUUGCCAAAUUCUCAUAAACUACAGUCUGUCGAUUUCUUUUAAAUAUCAUGUCCAUCUAAUUUGAGUGUUGGCCAAAGACUGCUGCAUAUAAGUCUGUCACAAUCUUUUUUACAGAAUCAAACUGAGUUGAGUCCAGUUUAGAGUUAACAAGAAAGAUUCAAAGAAACUACAGUCCAUCAAAUUAUUUUGCCCACCGACCGUUCAGUUCAGUUUUUAUAGAAUACCAUUAUUUUUAAGGCGUCCUGCCUUGGACGCUUAGGCGAUAAGGCGCCCUGGCAGAACCUUACAAAUAUGCCCGGGCGUCGCCUAGGCGCUAGAGCGGGUGGUGCUCGCCUUAGGUCACCUUACCGCCUUAAAACAAUGUAGAAUACAGCCCUAUAUUUUGUAGAACCAAACUGAGUUCAGUUCAGCCCCAACCGAGUUCAGUUCAGUUUAAAAUCAAAAGCAAUUUUAAGGUAUUGCUAUCUAGUCAUACAGAUUGUCAAGUAGCAAGUUUUUGACACAAUCAAACUGAAUUUUAUUGAUCUUAUGGGAAUGGACAAGGAUGUAUUGAUCUGAAACCAAUGGUUCGAUCAGAUGAGGCUAUGUUGUAUUGUAGAUUUACAAGAAAUUGGUCCAGACUGAUAGGGUUCUGUUAGGAUUUACAGAAUUACUCUGUUUUAAGAAGCAGAAGCAAAAUUUGAGGUACUGCUAUUUAGUCAUACACAAAUUAUCAGGCAACAACUAUUUUGAAGGAAUCAAACUGACUACUUCUAUAAGAAACUUACUUGAAGUAGACACUUGAAGAAACAUGUUUCCUGUAAUCUAGACACUUGAAGUAGGCAAGCACCUAAAAUAAACUGAAUAUGAAGCUCUGCAAUUCCCUCAUUGGUCCUGACAUAUUGGAUCCUUCGCCAUCCUGGGUUCAGGGGCUCAUUCUUUCCAAGAAAUUACAAAAAUCUUCUUGCUUCAGUUGCUUGUUAGCUGGCAUACCAU
rnacentral:lncRNA from 1 species